rnacentral:rRNA from 1 species
AGAGUUUGAUCCUGGCUCAGAACGAACGCUGGCGGCGUGGAUAAGACAUGCAAGUCGAACGAGAGAAUUGCUAGCUUGCUAAUAAUUCUCUAGUGGCGCACGGGUGAGUAACACGUGAGUAACCUGCCCCCGAGAGCGGGAUAGCCCUGGGAAACUGGGAUUAAUACCGCAUAGUAUCGAAAGAUUAAAGCAGCAAUGCGCUUGGGGAUGGGCUCGCGGCCUAUUAGUUAGUUGGUGAGGUAACGGCUCACCAAGGCGAUGACGGGUAGCCGGUCUGAGAGGAUGUCCGGCCACACUGGAACUGAGACACGGUCCAGACACCUACGGGUGGCAGCAGUCGAGAAUCAUUCACAAUGGGGGAAACCCUGAUGGUGCGACGCCGCGUGGGGGAAUGAAGGUCUUCGGAUUGUAAACCCCUGUCAUGUGGGAGCAAAUUAAAAAGAUAGUACCACAAGAGGAAGAGACGGCUAACUCUGUGCCAGCAGCCGCGGUAAUACAGAGGUCUCAAGCGUUGUUCGGAAUCACUGGGCGUAAAGCGUGCGUAGGCUGUUUCGUAAGUCGUGUGUGAAAGGCGCGGGCUCAACCCGCGGACGGCACAUGAUACUGCGAGACUAGAGUAAUGGAGGGGGAACCGGAAUUCUCGGUGUAGCAGUGAAAUGCGUAGAUAUCGAGAGGAACACUCGUGGCGAAGGCGGGUUCCUGGACAUUAACUGACGCUGAGGCACGAAGGCCAGGGGAGCGAAAGGGAUUAGAUACCCCUGUAGUCCUGGCAGUAAACGGUGCACGCUUGGUGUGCGGGGAAUCGACCCCCUGCGUGCCGGAGCUAACGCGUUAAGCGUGCCGCCUGGGGAGUACGGUCGCAAGAUUAAAACUCAAAGAAAUUGACGGGGACCCGCACAAGCGGUGGAGUAUGUGGCUUAAUUCGAUGCAACGCGAAGAACCUUACCUGGGCUUGACAUGUAAUGAACAACAUGUGAAAGCAUGCGACUCUUCGGAGGCGUUACACAGGUGCUGCAUGGCCGUCGUCAGCUCGUGUCGUGAGAUGUUUGGUUAAGUCCAGCAACGAGCGCAACCCCUGUUGCCAGUUACCAGCACGUGAAGGUGGGGACUCUGGCGAGACUGCCCAGAUCAACUGGGAGGAAGGUGGGGACGACGUCAGGUCAGUAUGGCCCUUAUGCCCAGGGCUGCACACGUACUACAAUGCCCAGUACAGAGGGGGCCGGAGCCGCGAGGCGGAGGAAAUCCUAAAAACUGGGCCCAGUUCGGACUGUAGGCUGCAACCCGCCUACACGAAGCCGGAAUCGCUAGUAAUGGCGCAUCAGCUACGGCGCCGUGAAUACGUUCCCGGGUCUUGCACACACCGCCCGUCA